GAGUUUGAUCUUGGCUCAGAUUGAACGCUGGCGGCAUGCCUUACACAUGCAAGUCGAACGGCAGCACGGGAGCUUGCUCCUGGUGGCGAGUGGCGAACGGGUGAGUAAUGCAUCGGAACGUAUCCUGGAGUGGGGGAUAACGUAGCGAAAGUUACGCUAAUACCGCAUAUUCUGUGAGCAGGAAAGCGGGGACCUUCGGGCCUCGCGCUCUUGGAGCGGCCGAUGUCGGAUUAGCUAGUUGGUGAGGUAAAGGCUCACCAAGGCGACGAUCCGUAGCAGGUCUGAGAGGAUGAUCUGCCGACACUGGAACUGAGACACGGUCCAGACUCCUACGGAGGCAGCAGUGGGAAUUUUGGACUAAUGGGGCAACCCGUGAUCCAGCCAUGCCGCGUGAGU
rnacentral:rRNA from 1 species